rnacentral:rRNA from 1 species
GAUGAACGCUGGCGGCGUGCCUAACACAUGCAAGUCGAACGAACAGACGAGGCUCUUGCGCCUCGGACGUUAGCGGAGGACGUGUGAGUAACACGUGGAUCCCCUCCCUAUCAGACGGGGAAAACUACGGAAAACCGGAGCUAAUACCGUAGAAUCUAUUGAACCGCAGGGUUCGAUAGAGAAAGACGGCUUUGCUGUCACUUAUAGAUGGAUCCCGGCCGUAUUAGCUAGUUGUGAAGGUAACGGGCUAUCAAGGCAACGAUGCGUAGCCGACCUGAGAGGGGGAUAGGCGACAUUAGAGCGGGAACACGGUCAAGGCGCCUACGGGAGGGAGCAGAAGGGAAUCUGCCGCAACGGGCGAAAGCCUGACGGAGCAACGCGACGUGAGUGAUGAAGGUCUUCGGAGCGUAAUACCGUGUUAUGAGGGAAGAACAAAUGUGUAAUGAACUAUGCAGGUCUUGACGGUACCUAAUCAGAAAGCCACGGCUAACUACGUG